CGGUUUGUCCCCUCAUUUUUUCCACAGGCUAUGAGCCGGCCUGUGACAAGUGGGGGCUCGUCCUUGCUCAGAGGGAUAAAUGAUUUGGAACAGCCUUCGUUAGCGGGGGAUUUAGAGGAGCAAAACGCAUGCAGCCAGUCCCCGUCACACUACGGUAGACCUGACACCAAGAAGGAUAACGGCCUCCUUAUGGACCCUGAACGACGUCGGAGGUGCAGAUGACACAGAUGCUAUUCUCCCGUUCUGUGCGAACGCUUUUUCAAACACACCGAGAACAAAUUAUCCAAAUGGCUGAGCCAACAGACAUAAUUGAGACAGUUGAAACCCUCUUAUCACAGAUACUGCCCGAACUCCAAGCUAUAAUUAACCAUAUGAACGAGGCGGGGGUAACAGACAUAAUACCGAUAGAUGAAAGCAUAUCAUCACAGGUUCCAUCCGAACUCCUAGAAAUUAUUAAUCGUAUUAACGAGUCAGGGACGACCAAUGAACCUGUUAUCACAGAUUCCCGAAGCCCUCAUAUCUGUAAUUAAUCAGAUGAAUGAGAGCCUAAGAUCUUCUGCACCGCACACCCCACAAAACCAGCCAUUAACGCCCAGGUCAGAAGAGUCUGAAACGCAAUAGAAUGUUUUUGAGGAAUUGGAAAAUUGUCUAAUAAAUCAGGAGGGAGAUGGUAUUAAUAGAAGUGUACGGGUUGUGUACCGAAAUAAUUUCAACAAUACAGAGAUUCGACAGUUUUUCAAUUUCACAUGAGUGAAUCAGAAUCUUGACUAUGCUGUGUUUUAUGUAAUGAUAUUUGAUACUCUGAACGCAGUGUUAAACAGGGCAAGAGAUUAUGGCGAACCUCGUGAUGUCUUAUAGUUGGACAUUUGUCGAGAUAGCCUGCAUAACACGUUAUCUCUUAUUUUACCCAAUGGCGAAGUAGAUCUUGAACAAUGUAUCGCCCUGCUAGAACGACUCGUUCAGUCAAAUGUAUCCGUCAUAGCCGAAAGGACCCUCGAGCUUGUAGUGCAAAUCAUAUGUCAACCCCAGGGUGGUGGGGGUCAGAGAAGGAAGCUAGAUAGCCUAAUGCAAUCAGAAAUCAUAAGCAAUAAAUGGGCCUACCUCAUAAACGUUCACAAUCCUGGUAAUAAGCUAUGCUUUGCAAUAGGCUAACCACUUAUUCACUUUAGCAGCGCUUAAGCGGCUACCUGUUUCUUCGGCUAUAGCUCUCUGUAAACGCUCUUUACCCCCAUAAGACCCGGGGUUAGAGGGGUUAUAAUGUUUUUCAACAUCUGCUCCGCCAUCCUUCU